UACGUAGGGUGCGAGCGUUAAUCGGAAUUACUGGGCGUAAAGCGUGCGCAGGCGGCGCGUUAAGUCAGGUGUGAAAGCCCUGAGCUUAACUUGGGAAUUGCGCUUGUGACUGGCGUGCUGGAGUGUGGCAGAGGGAGGUGGAAUUCCACGUGUAGCAGUGAAAUGCGUAGAGAUGUGGAGGAACACCGAUGGCGAAGGCAGCCUCCUGGGCCAGCACUGACGCUGAGGAGCGAAAGUGUGGGGAGCGAACAGG
rnacentral:rRNA from 1 species